GCCAGGUCCUGAUGGGAUUGUUGGAUUCCCUGGCGUUCGUGGACCUCAGGGGAAAACAGGUGCAGGUGGGCCUACAGGUCCGAAAGGGGAUCCCGUGAGUAUCAAUCAAGGCUGAAUCAUUUAUUUUUAAAGCAUUUAUGAUGAAUGUUUCCAUACAUUUGACUUGUAAUCUACAAUCUUACGCAAUCCUUCAUGUUUUUAAACAGGGUGACGCAGGUGAUGAGGGAAAUAUAGGAGAAUCCGGACUCUCUGGGAUUCACGUAAGCACAUUAAUGUACACGUAAGAAUUGAAAACUCGAAGCAAUGUAUUUUAUUAAACCAAUUAUACUGAAAAAGUCAUUCAAACUUAGCCUCUGUUUUUUCCUUCUUAUCAGGGAGCCAAUGGCAAACCAGGAAAAACUGGACCCUCAGGGGAUCAAAGCAUCUAAGAGAAGUGACAAGGGUGACCCAGGAUUUAAAGGGGACCAGGGUCGACCCGGGCCUCCAGGUAAAAGAGGCUUUAAAGGCAGAGGAGGAGCAUCAGGGCUGCUAGGUAAUGUUGGACCAGUGGGGCCCCCUGGAUUUCCUGGAACCACAGUAAGUAGAACCUCUUCAAUCUGGUCACUGCACAGUACUGUAAUGGGAUGGAAUAUCAUUACACCUGUUCAGAUCACCAUAUCCUGA
rnacentral:lncRNA from 1 species